GGGCUCCUCUUAGAGUUCUUGCCAGCCCUAGCCAGGGAUGGGCUCUUUGUUAUGCUGAGGGUUUGCACGGCCAUCUCGGAACUCAAGAAAAGAGUUAUAAUUUUAAGUGCACGUCUCUCCCAAACAUUAACCCUAUCAUGGUUUUUAAGUCUGCAGGUUUGGUUUUUCCAGCUUUGCAUGUCCUUUUUCCCGCCUUGUAUUUAAUACCUUCCGUCUUCCAGAAGAGCCGGUCAUGGUCCUCCGACAGUAACUGCUGGUCACAAGUACUGAUGCUUCCUCAUAUCUAUAGCUUCUCUGCCUCACAUUCAAGGAAGCACUGAUCACCCUCCAAGAGGAGGAAGAAAAGAGAUGCUAAGGCACCACCCACUGAUUUUUUUUUUAAGUAAGUCUCUUUCCUUCUUAUUUCAAAGUGUAUUAUCUCAUGAUCAGAACUCAUUAUCGCU
rnacentral:lncRNA from 1 species